CCCAGCAAUAGGAAACUGCCUAGGUUGCCUUGUACCUAGGCAAGUGUUACACUGCUGGGAAAAAAGCAGCCAACAGCUGGCAGGCAUCCUGGGUCUGGUUAAUACUAAAUCUGUGUUAACUAUACCAGUAUGCCAGCAUA
ensembl:snoRNA SNORA74 Small nucleolar RNA SNORA74